rnacentral:lncRNA from 1 species
CUGGAAGCCGCACCACAAGCGGCAACACGCUACUUGAGGUAAACGAUGGCACACUGCUCGAGGCAACAGUGGCCUCACCUGCCUAGCACGCGUUGCAGGCCUAGCCUGCAGGCGCUGGGCUACCCUGCCGCACUAGGGCACCACACGCAGGCCUAUUCAUGCAGGCGUGCUGCGCGGAUGGACCGAGCAUGUGUGCAUCGCCUACCUGGCCACGCGGGAAUAGGUCCUGCCUGUGCGCAACAGGAUGCGGGCACAGGCCUGUCCUCUGUGCCGCAUGAGAUAGGACUUGCGCACUGGGUGCACGUCCUGUGCCUGCGCGGGCAGCCUAUUUCAGUGGGAUUUUCCCUCCCUAUUUUUCAUUUUGUUUGAAAAUCGUUUAUUUUA